rnacentral:rRNA from 1 species
CAGUCGCCGCGGUAAUACAGAGGGUGCGAGCGUUAAUCGGAUUUACUGGGCGUAAAGCGUGCGUAGGCGGCUUUUUAAGUCGGAUGUGAAAUCCCUGAGCUUAACUUAGGAAUUGCAUUCGAUACUGGGAAGCUAGAGUAUGGGAGAGGAUGGUAGAAUUCCAGGUGUAGCGGUGAAAUGCGUAGAGAUCUGGAGGAAUACCGAUGGCGAAGGCAGCCAUCUGGCCUAAUACUGACGCUGAGGUACGAAAGCAUGGGGAGCAUACAGGAUUAGAUACCCCUGUAGUCCCUGUCUCUUAUAC